rnacentral:tRNA from 1 species
UCCCUUAUAGCUUAGUUGGUAAAGAAUCCGCCUGCAAUGUGGAGACUCCGGUUCGAUUCCUGGGUAGGGAA